GUCGACGCGUCUUGGUUAUUGAUGUUAGAUGCUUGCAUUUAACUGAUUUAACAUUGAGACGAGUGGCGAACUGGUGAGUAACACGUGGGUAACCUGCCCUUGAAGUAGGGGAUAACACUUGGAAACAGGUGCUAAUACCGUAUAACAACCAAAACCACCUGGUUUUGGUUUAAAAGAUGGCUUCGGCUAUCACUUUAGGAUGGACCCGCGGCGUAUUAGCUUGUUGGUAAGGUAACGGCCUACCAAGGCAAUGAUACGUAGCCGACCUGAGAGGGUAAUCGGCCACAUUGGGACUGAGACACGGCCCAAACUCCUACGGGAGGCAGCAGUAGGGAAUCUUCCACAAUGGACGAAAGUCUGAUGGAGCAACGCCGCGUGAGUGAUGAAGGGUUUCGGCUCGUAAAACUCUGUUGUUGGAGAAGAACAGGUGUGAGAGUAACUGUUCACAUCUUGACGGUAUCCAACCAGAAAGCCACGGCUAACUACGUGCCAGCAGCCGCGGUAAUACGUAGGUGGCAAGCGUUGUCCGGAUUUAUUGGGCGUAAAGCGAGCGCAGGCGGUUUCUUAGGUCUGAUGUGAAAGCCUUCGGCUUAACCGGAGAAGUGCAUCGGAAACCAGGAGACUUGAGUGCAGAAGAGGACAGUGGAACUCCAUGUGUAGCGGUGAAAUGCGUAGAUAUAUGGAAGAACACCAGUGGCGAAGGCGGCUGUCUGGUCUGUAACUGACGCUGAGGCUCGAAAGCAUGGGUAGCGAACAGGAUUAGAUACCCUGGUAGU
rnacentral:rRNA from 1 species